GGGUUUGACGAGUUAUUCCAUAACCUCCGUCUAGUCGGGACUCAUGAUAGAAGGAUUGUAUCACACGGUAACUGCACCAAGAGGUUCAGUAUUCCAUUCUACUGGAAUGCCACUACAUGCUGCUAGGCGUCACUGGUGGAUUGUGAGACUCAUGAGAAUUAUCUAGAUGAUCGAUAAUUCUCAUUGGGCUGAGUUGGAAUUGUUCUGAUCCAUUGAAAGGAGUUUCAGUGAUAUUAUUGAUAGUGAUCAAAAUAUAUCUCACUACCAGAUAGAAUAGAACCUAUGGGGUCACACACAUAAGAGGUUGUGAUUGAUCGGAUAGCUAGAUCGCGAUUAUUGAAUCGCCGGAGGACCUAAUUGUCAAUAUGUUGAUAAUUGGACUAAUUUGUAAUUGUUACAAAUUAGUGGUAUUAAAGUGUAAAUGUUACUAGAGAGGACUUACUAAUAGUUAGUAAAUUAUAAGAGGAC
rnacentral:lncRNA from 1 species